rnacentral:rRNA from 1 species
GGGGCUAAACCAUGCACCGAAGCUGCGGCAGCGACGCUGAUGCGUUGUUGGGUAGGGGAGCGUUCUGUAAGCCUGUGAAGGUGGCCUGUGAGGGUUGCUGGAGGUAUCAGAAGUGCGAAUGCUGACAUAAGUAACGAUAAAGCGGGUGAAAAGCCCGCUCGCCGGAAGACCAAGGGUUCCUGUCCAACGUUAAUCGGGGCAGGGUGAGUCGACCCCUAAGGCGAGGCCGAAAGGCGUAGUCGAUGGGAAACGGGUUAAUAUUCCCGUACUUGGUGUUACUGCGAAGGGGGGACGGAGAAGGCUAUGUUGGCCGGGCGACGGUUGUCCCGGUUUAAGCGUGUAGGUGUGUGUUCCAGGUAAAUCCGGUUCACUUUAACACUGAGGCGUGAUGACGAGGCACUACGGUGCUGAAGCAACAAAUGCCCUGCUUCCAGGAAAAGCCUCUAAGCAUCAGGUAACAUCAAAUCGUACCCCAAACCGACACAGGUGGUCAGGUAGAGAAUACCAAGGCGCUUGAGAGAACUCGGGUGAAGGAACUAGGCAAAAUGGUGCCGUAACUUCGGGAGAAGGCACGCUGACAC